AGAAGGUGAAAUAGACCCUACCCCCUGAUGGAGGAUCCACUUGUAUGUAUAAGGAUGGGAAGCUUUGCAGGCAGCCAUCUUUGGAAGCCAUCCACCACAGUGGCUCAAUCAACCUGGUGAUGACACAGAGUGAAGUCCCCACUUUCCAAGAAUUUUCCUUCACAAGAAAGUUCCUUUCAUUUCACCCACACAGGAAUGUUGACUUUAAAUGAGACCAAGACCUAAAAGGCCACAUUCACAGAUAGGUAACAGGGCAUCUCUUUGACAAGCCUCAAUCGCUCUUGGGGGCUUCAAUUUCCUCAUCUGUAAAAUAAAGAUAGCCUAGAGUUGAGUUCUACAGCCUUAAACCUCAAAGGAAAAGCCUUUAUACAGGUGUUCUAAUUUGCAACUAUCACCAGAUAUUUCCCAUAAGGCCAGGUGCAGUGGCUCAUGCCUGUAAUCCUAUCACUUCGGGAGACCAAGGCAGGUGGAUUACUUGAGGUUAGGAGUUCGAGACCAGCCUAGCCAACAGGGUGAAACCCCACCUCUACUAAAAAGACAAAAAUUAGCCAGGUGUGGUGGUGCACUCCCAUAAUCCCAGUUACUGAGGAGGCUAAGGCACAAGAAUCACUUGAACCUGGGAGGCAGAGGUUGCAGUGAGCCAAGAUCAUGCCACUGCACUCCAGCCUGGGAGACAGAGAGAGACUCUGUCUCAACAACAACAACAACAAAAAAUUAUUUCCCGUAGGAUUUUCCAAAGGAGGGUUAGGAAUGUGAAGUCAAUAGUUCACAAAUGCACUCCUACUUUUCGGAGGUAUAUUAGGAAUGCAUAUCUUGUUGGUACCUACACAAAGCCUCCUUUGAAUUUUAACUUCCAGAUUUUUUCUCUUGCUUAUGGUCUGCCACCAUGGGUAAAGCACCCCCACAUACAUCAGCACAGAGCCCACAUACAUCAAUUUUUUCAUAACCCCCAAAGAGAGCAGUCAGCCAAAUCAGAAAGUUUCAGGGAGAUAUCAAGAUAGAAAAGGCUAGAUACCCAGUCUGAGAAGUCAGACAACUCCACAAAACUAAUAAUAAUAAUGUCACCAUUCAUAGGUAUUAUUAUUCAUAUGUAGAAUAUAGAGGAGUCAGGAUUUGGAGGCAGGCCUGGGACCUAGGUUCAAAUCCUGGCAUCACCACCUACAUCUGUGUGGCCUCCAUAGGGUACUUUGGUAAUAAUAAAUAUUCAAUGAGGUCAUAUAAGCUAGUGUUGGCAGAGGCCCAGCCCAUAGAAAGCUCACAACCAAGAGUGGCUGUCUUUAUUGUCACAUUGAUUUUCAGUCUAAGAAGUUGCAACUCAGAAAACAAUAAGUCAUCUAUGUUGCAAGGCUGUUUGCUCUUCUUCCAUCCAGAAAGUGGCUGUUAGAGAAAGAAACUCACACUGACCAUGUGUCUACUCCUUGCUAAACAUUUCCCAUGUGCAGCCUUGAGUAAGCCUCCAAGUAUUCCUGAAGUUAUUGUGAAUAUGAAGAAAUUGAGGCUCCGAGGCUUAGAUUACUUGCCCCAGGACAGAUAACCGAGAUGAGGCAGAGCGGGGAUUAAAACCAGGUGGCCCUGAUGGGACAAAGGCUCAAUGUAAAUAGAAGAGUCAGCCCAUGUGUCCACAUCCAAUGAAGUAAACAUGGAAAAUGCAAGAUCACCCAUUUGACCUUUACCAUUAACCUAUCUAGGCCUCAGUUUCUUCAUCUGUAACACAGGGGCAUUGAAACGUAAAACCCAAAGUUUCAUGAAUGCAUGAUUUGGGGUUUAAAACUAAAAUAGUAUUAUUUCAGUGUUCUGAACUGUAUGUUUUCAUUAAGUAUCAUUUUAAAAUCACAUUUUCUAAUUUCAUGUCUCUGAGAAGUCUAGAUCCCUUAUCAACUCAUAGUGGUUGAGAAUCUCAAAAUUAUUCAAAAAUAUCCUUGAGGUGUGGUGUCCCAAAUAACCUGGGACAUAAACUAGCAUAGCUGGAGCACUAACUUUCAAAAUAAAAUUAAUCAAGGAAUAAUAGUCAGCUCUUCUAAAACAAAUACAUAUAUAAACAUAUGCACAUAUGCUGUAGCCUCAGAAUACCAUUUACUCUAAGAAUGUAAGCUAUUCUCCUAUGCUCAAAAUAAUGUAAAUUUAAGGAUUGAGAACUUCAGUGGUAAACUGUCACCUGUAUCUCUAUGGUUUAAACAAAUAAAGAAAAGAAUAAGAAAAC
rnacentral:lncRNA from 10 species